rnacentral:rRNA from 1 species
UACGUAUGGGGCAAGCGUUAUCCGGAUUCAUUGGGCGUAAAGAGCGCGUAGGCGGUUUGUUAAGUCGGAUGUGAAAACCGGGGGCUCAACCCGCGGCCUGCAUCCGAAACUGGCAGACUUGAGUCUGGUAGAGGAAAGUGGAAUUCCUAGUGUAGCGGUGAAAUGCGCAGAUAUUAGGAGGAACACCAGUGGCGAAGGCGGCUUUCUGGGCCACGACUGACGCUGAGGCGCGAAAGCUAGGGGAGCAAACAGG